CCAUACCCAUUCCCUAGUACUGCGAGUGAGCGGGAAAAGCUCAAAUUUAAAAUCUGGUGGUCUUUGGCCAUCCGAGUUGUAAUCUAGAGAAGUGUUAUCCGCGCUGGACCGUGUACAAGUCCCCUGGAAUGGGGCGUCAUAAAGGGUGAGAAUCCCGUCUUUGACACGGACUACCAGGGCUUUGUGAUGCACUCUCAAAGAGUCGAGUUGUUUGGGAAUGCAGCUCAAAAUGGGUGGUAAAUUCCAUCUAAAGCUAAAUAUUGGCGAGAGACCGAUAGCGAACAAGUACCGUGAGGGAAAGAUGAAAAGAACUUUGGAAAGAGAGUUAAACAGUACGUGAAAUUGUUGAAAGGGAAACGCUUGAAGUCAGUCGCGUCUGCCAGGGAUCAACCUUACUUUUGUGAGGCGUACUUCCUGGUUGAUGGGUCAGCAUCAGUUUUGGUCGCUGGAUAAAGGUCAGAGAAAUGUGGCACCUUCGGGUGUGUUAUAGUCUUUGAUCAGAUACAGUGGCUGGGACUGAGGAACUCAGCGCCGCAAGGCUGUCUUAGGAUGCUGGCAAAAUGGCUUUAAUCGACCCGUCUUGAAACACGGACAAAGGAAGUCAGUCA
rnacentral:rRNA from 1 species